GAUCAUGGUUCAGAUUGAACGCUGGCGGCAGGCCUAACACAUGCAAGUCGAACGGUAACAGGAAGCAGCUUGCUGCUUUGCUGACGAGUGGCGGACGGGUGAGUAAUGUCUGGGAAACUGCCUGAUGGAGGGGGAUAACUACUGGAAACGGUAGCUAAUACCGCAUAACGUCGCAAGACCAAAGAGGGGGGACCUUCGGGCCUCUUGCCAUCGGAUGUGCCCAGAUGGGAUUAGCUAGUAGGG
rnacentral:rRNA from 1 species